rnacentral:rRNA from 1 species
AUUGAACGCUGGCGGCAUGCCUUACACAUGCAAGUCGAACGGUAACAGGUCUUCGUAUGCUGACGAGUGGCGAACGGGUGAGUAAUACAUCGGAACGUGCCCAGACGUUGUGGAUAACGAGGCGAAAGCUUUGCUAAUACCUCAUACGAUCUAAUGUUUAAAGCAGGGGACCGCAAGGCCUUGUGCGUUUGGUGCGGUCGAUGGCAGAUUAGGUAGUUGGUGGGAUAAAAGCUUACCAAGCCGACGAUCUGUAGCUGGUCUGAGAGGACGACCAGCCACACUGGGACUGAGACACGGCCCAGACUCCUACGGGAGGCAGCAGUGGGGAAUUUUGGACAAUGGGCGAAAGCCUGAUCCAGCAAUGCCGCGUGCAGGAUGAAGGCCUUCGGGUUGUAAACUGCUUUUGUACGGAACGAAAAGGCUCUGGCUAAUACCUGGGGCACAUGACGGUACCGUAAGAAUAAGCACCGGCUAACUACGUG